AAGAAAAAAAACGGGCACACAAUGGCGGGAAGGUUUGAAUAGACAGACGAGAUUGAAUGAAUGUAUUUUACCAACAGGAACGGAAUAUGACAUUUAACAACAACAACGGCGUAAAUUCUAAAGGAAUGAUGUCCAAUGACUGUAGAAUUGAACGAUGGAUAGGUGUUUUCAUAAAAACCAUCCUACAUAUUUUUUUCCUGAUAUUACGGCAUGGGUAUGAGAUGAAAUCGUUGAAACUUCUGGAAGUGAUCUCAAACAUUAGCUUAGAUUACCAGCGUAAGAAUGAGCCUGCUGUCGACCAAGAUUUCUACCCGAUGGAAUAUGAUGGAUUACCACCAAUUGUAUGUACACCCUGAGCCACAAUUGGAAGAGGAUCGUAGGUCUAUACCAGACUCAAGUACACAUCACCAUCCAUGCAAGCGGCCUGGUCAACGAGGAAUGGAGGAGGAUUGGGUUUUUUCAUCAGGAGAUGAUGGCGGCGGGUCAGAUAGAUGUUGCUUGGAAGGCAUCCAGUGCAGUUUUCUUGUGGUGAGAAGAGGUCUUACGUCUUCGGGUACCCGCAGGCCAUGAAAAGGAAUAGGAUAUAGACGGUGUAUUUCAUCCUGCGAUAAGUCAAUGCCGAUACCAUGAUUGGAAACCUCACCCGAUGCAAGUCUCAUCAUGGUGAGGGGUGGUCAAGGAUCCAGUUGAUGCCGCUCCGCGAGUCCGAGCCGGAGUUCAAGGAACUUAAUGUUACAAGGCGGAAAUGUUCCAGAGGAUGCUAAGGGUUGUUUUACCACCAGAGUGUGUUUUAAAGGCGUUCUAUGCACCAUUAAAAAACAAUUAUGUGUUAGUUGCUAGGCACUAAGCUGCAAGAAAAUACUGAAAUAUACGUUUACUUCUCAUACGACCAUAUCUGGCAUUUUAGGGCCAAAUUUACGGUCUCGUUUUUUUUCUCUCUGAUAUCAAGACCGCGCAUAUCGCAUAUCGCAUAUUUGUUCUUAGCUAUGAUAAGACAUUGUUUUACCAAUCAGAAUCGAUUGUUAAAAAAAUGAAAGCCCAUUCAGAAGCUACAGAUAACUUAUUUGUGUGACUAGGGUAUUCUGUCCAAAACUUCCUCUCCAUAUUUGGUAAUGAAAUGAGACGCACAGUAUACUCUGAUUGUAAAACAACCCUUAAAGUAGGAUUCAAUGGAGUAAAAACUGAUCAACCAAAUCAGUUCACCUUCCUUCCAUUAAAAUGAUGAAUGCAGCAACUUUAUUUAUACUCUUCUUAUUUUGAAAAAAAAAUUUGAUGGCGUUAUUCAGAAAAAAAAAAACGUUAGAAAAAUGAUAUUGCAAAACCUUUAAUUGUCUUUCUUGGCCGCGGGAAAAAUCGCAUUUUAUACAUUCCCUGUAUGUCGAUGCUGACUGAGUGUUGCUUUAGUAGGCCUGUUGAACUUCUUUGGGACAUUCCCAUGCCGUAUAAAGUAAAAUCUCUGAUAGGUUAAAGGAGAAGAUGAUGUUCGGUUAUUUUGUUCUUCUAUGUCAUAAUUUAUGUAAGGCUUCAUUUUGGAUUUUAAUAGAAAUAUCACUUGUAACCCAUGGUUAAGUUUUUAUAGGCUUUAAAGCCUGACAAUUAAAAAAAAACAAUUCGAAGCUAGGGAGCAAAGCAACCAAGAUUAUGACACGUUUGGUCAAUUUGAAUAACAUUUUCUGAAAAAAGGUGUAAGCUCCCACAUUUUUUCCAUCUUAGAUGGGGAUGACAACCAAACUUUACAUUCUAAAUUUGGCCCUCUCCACCCAGGUGUAGUAAAUGGGUACAGUAUGCAGCGCUUAGAAACAAGCGCUAUAUAGAUUUGGCAUAAUUAUUGAUUUAUAUUUUUUGUGAUAGGUUUCAAGCUAAGACUGAUUGAUUUUUCAGUUUUGGACCAGUAAUGUCAAUUCCUUAUAGUGUUGUGCUGUUUUUUUUUUUUUUUUUUUGGGGGGGGGGGAGGGGGGUGUUACGGUUUUCAUUUAUCAUGCAUUUUGUCAUUGGUGGUCCACAAAUUAAGUGCAGAAGUAGCCUAUAUUACAUUUAACAUAUUUAUGGCCCAUACACUUACCCCCUCUCGGAUGUAAGUUCAUACAAUAAAAAGAAAACUCUAUAAUAAAAUAAGGCAAACAAUUCAACAUGCCCUUUUAUUAAAUGGGUUACAUUUUGGACAUUCAUUUCUGGAAAGUAAGGAACAAUGUAUUGUACUACUGAACCUUUAAUUAAUCAAUGGAGAAUAAUAACAAUGCUGGAAGUCCAGUUUCCCUAAUUCCCUGUUUGACUAUUAUGAAUUUGCUUCAUCUGAUAUGCUUUUAAGUGCAAGUUUACCCCCAACAAGAGGUGGUUUUGAAUAAUCAAACAAUAAAAAUAAAAAUCAAGAUAUCAAUCAGAUGUAAAAUAAGAAAGUCAGAAAAUUAUCAGUUUGAGAGAGACAAGGGGGGGGGGGUCAUAUGUAAAUGAGAGAGUCGAUGAUGUCACACUCACUAUUUCUUUGUGUUUUACUAGAUAAAACAGACAUUUCAAUUUUUGCAGAUUUGGCAGUUAAAAAGCAUCUUCAUGGAAUAACAAUGGUUAUAUUGCAUCAAGGACAAUUCCAUGCAUUCAAGGAAGAACCGAAACUUGUUCCACAUCAUAAUGAGGAUAAUAUAAAGCCAUUUCAGAAUUCACAAGAUAAUAAAAUACAAUAUAAAUGGUGGGUUGGUGGCAUCAUCAGUCCCCUCACUUGCAUAUUGACCAGAAUUAAGCGAAACUACUUUAUGAAAUGCCAUCAGUUUCUUAUUUUACAUGACAUUAUGAUGAAAUUUUCACCUUGGUUGAGAAUGAAAUGUGGUAGGCCUAUUCCUUAGCCCGAAAUAUAUAGACAUCUGCGAAUGACAUUUGGGCUAAGUUUUAGAAUGUUAUUUUGCCGGGUGGGUGUUCCAUAAAGCCUUUCACAAGUUACGACUGACCUUACACCAAACUGGUAAACCUUAUGAUAUAUCCUUGAUAUAUCCUGUGUAGCACCUAAGAACUUGCUCUAGCUAUGCAUAAAGUCAUGGGUAAUUUUACAGAGCUUUAUGAAAUACCAACCUGGCCUUACCUGGGCCCCGUCAACAAGGAGUUGCGAUUUAUUUGAUCAACCACAACUAUGGAAAUGCAUGUUUGUUCAAUAUUGUUUUGUACAUAUGUUAUACAUUCAUACAUUUAUUGUUUUCUUGACAAUUUGGUAUGCUCCUCUUUGUUUGCAAAAGGACAUUAUGCAAAUUUGAUAUAGGAAAAAUAUCAUGAUAUUGAUGGAUUUCCAAUACAGUUGAAGUUGAUCGGAUCAAUAAUAUAUCUUUGUAAGAUGGGAGCCUGGACAGUAAAUGAUUGUGUUACACCUCCUUUGGCUACUUGUAUUUAUUCUUGUACCUGGCUUAUCCCCCCCCCCAUCUCUCUCUCUUUCUUUUUUUCUCUCUCUUAUCCCUCUUCUCUCCCCUUUCUUUUCCCUACUCUUUCUUUCUCUUUCCUCUCUUCUGAAGGUACUUUCACAUUUGGUUGUGCGAUCACAUUUUGUUACAUUAUAUUUUACAUGAAAUAGCAAUGCUCGCAACAGUUGCACAACCAAUUUUGAAAGCCCCUUUAUUAUACAUGUGUACAGAGUGUCCCACAAAAGGGGAAACCGGGAUUCUCAGUAUAUUGGGAGUAAUUUUUUCAACACUGGCAAAUAAUUAUCUUUCAUUGAUAUCAUGGAAUCAAUUUGUUGGGAUUUUUUUUAUCAUCUUAUGUUAUUGGGUCCAGAGCUGAUAAUCCCAAUUGGAAAAAAAAAAUCUUCUUUUUUACCCUAUUUUCAACCCUAAAAUCUUAUAUUUUUUUCAAAUUUUGAAAAAAACAUACCAAAAAAAUACAAUUCUUACAAGUUUGAAAAAUCCAAUUUCAAAGGGAUUUCAAUAUACUCUUAAAAAUCCUACUACUUAAUGAGCUCUGAAAGAUUACACAUAGAUGUAACAAAGUGUAAAUUUAUGGUCAAAACAUAUUUACUGAUUGUGAUAUCUAUGACUAAAACUAGUUUUUUUUUUGUGUGACACUCUGUACGCACAACCCUUGGAUAUAGAGCGAACUUCAUCAAAUGUAUAUCAAACAUCACUUCAGCAAAAAGAUUAGAACUACCAAUUAUUCUCAAUUCCGAUACCCCUUAUGAUAGAUGUAUGAAAAAUUUGAAAAUUGAAAUAUAUCCAACAUAUAUGAUUAACCUUUAGUGUUCAAAUUGAAGUAAAUAUUUAUUAUUGCUUUGUAAAUGCCACAAUGCAAAUCGCAUGUGUGACAAUACAUACCACACAUUGUUUGAAAAUAGUAUUCAAACAAAUCUAUAAUCAAAAUCUGUUCAACAAAAUUAUGUUCGUUUUAUGAAGUUCACUCUUUACAAUAUAAAACAAGAUGAAAUUAUACAUAUUAUGUUGCAAAAUGGAUUGUUAAUGAUUUAUUUAAAAAAAAAAACAGUAUUGAUGAUUUUUUUAAUUUGAUUAUGAAAAACUUGGCAGUGCUUACUUUCAUUUGGCUGGAUAUUGAAUAAGCUCAUCUAAAAAAAAAAAUUAUGCAGUGGUGGAUGCUUGAUCAUAAAAAAAAAAUUCUCCAGAAAGGACAAUUUUACCAUCGAUAUCAAUCCGUUUUGCAACAUUUCACCCAAAAAAAAAUUGGAGGGGAGGGGGAUGGAUGGAAAAUUGAGGGUUGCACAUUGUCUGCAAAGGCUGCAAUAAAUCUCAUCAACUCUGAAAAUUUAUAUGUGAUUUUUGUGGAUAAUGUGCAAACCUCAAAGGGCAUUAAUAAACUUGACCUGCUGCAAGCCAAAAUUUGACAUUGUUCUUGAAAGUACUCUAUAACAUUAACAAGCUGAAAAUAUCUUGGUUUUGCAUUUCACCAACUUUUUGCAAGUCGAAUCAUCCACAAAAUUGCCACAAAAAAAAUGAAAAACAAAAUAAAAUUUUUAUAUUGGCCUUGCUUCUCAAACUUAAAAAUAUAAUUUUUUUUUAAAUGAAAAAUGUAUGAUAAACAUUGGCCGUUCAAAUUUGGGUUAGCUUCUACACAUUGUACAGUGCCCAUGAGAAACCAUUAAACCUGGAGAUUUCUGGAACAAUGUCACUUUUGGCUUGCAAAAAAAGGUUUUGUGACCUUUCUGCCAUCCCAUGACAAAAGGAAGCACCUCUAGAGAAUAAAAUGAGAAUUGAUUUAUGUGGAAAUGGUUCAUUGCUUUUGAAAAGCCUAUGUUCCAGAAAGGAGGGGGGGGGGGGUUAUGUGACUCAAAUCCAUUUUGUAUCAUGUAGAGCAAUAUAAAAUAUCUCAAAUAUAAAAACUUGGUUGCUUCCUUUUGUCAUUGGACGGCAGAAUUGCUCCUGCGACAAUUGCUCCUACCCAAAACAAGCAAAUUAAUACCACCAUAAACCCUAAUUGUAAUCCUAACCCCUCUAAAUAAUAUCCUAUCACAACCCUAACCAUAAAAGUUCAGAGAAAUUGGUGGAGGAGCAAUUGACGCAGGAGCAAAGGUCACCUUACCGUAAAAAAAGGAGUAGGGGAGAUCAUAACAGAUAAAAAAAGGAGGAUCACGAUGGAUAAAAAAAAGGGCGGGGCAAGACACAAGAUACAGGUAUACAAAUAAAGUAUUACUGACAAGAGAAAUGUUCAUUUUCUAAUAAAUUUAUUUUGCAAAAAAAAAUGACCGACAGCCAAGAAGAUUCAUUCAAGUGCAGAGGUUGCCAAAGCAAAUGACCUCUUGAUACAAUGGAGCAAACCCUAAUCCCCACAAAAUGGCCAGCAGCCUGAUCUGAGCUGGGGUCUCCCAGACAAAAUCACACAAUACAUGACAUCACUACCAAUCAACCUAUUUUUCAGUGUACAGGGUGGGGCACUGGACACUGCCGUGCAUGAUGUACCUCAUCAAGGUGCUUUAUUUUCAAGUUCAAUGAUGUUUUAUGUAGCCAGCUGUAUGAGAGACAAUGCAUUGAUUUUCCAACCCCUCCCCCUUCUCCCCACCCCUUUUCUCUUUGUUUAACAUAUGAAUCAGUCUGUUAAAUCUCCUUUGUAGUCUCUUUAUUCACCCUAGAACAAAGCCACCUAAUUUCCUUUCAUCUGCUCCCUCCCUCAUUACCAUGAUCCCUCCUCCUCUUACCCCCCCCUCUCUUCUUUCUACAGGUUUACCAGUUAAUCCACUAAUUGUGGUCUCGCUCCAUCCCUCCUUGUACUAUCCAUCUUGCGGAGCCUUUCAUGAAGAUUUCUGUCAGCAAUUUUCACAAACUGAUGUUAUAAGCUACUGAAAAUUCUUGCAUCUGAUUGGCUGAGAGCUAAUUAGUGAAAAUCACUGACAAACCUCUCCAUGAAAUGCUCCCCAUUUCUGCCAGCUUUCCUUCAUUUCACAUCCUUUCAACAUUUACUUGCCAUGACUGAUAUUUUUAGCUGUAUCUUUGAAUUUUUAAAAGAUUUUGAGUAGUAUUACUAAUUACUUAAAU